rnacentral:antisense_RNA from 1 species
CUCACCGAAAUAUUCGCCAUCACCCAACAAGGCAAUGCGCAACUCCUCGCCAUGAGGCCCAUGACUAAUCACCUCGGCCUGCCCGCUGGCUACAAUAAAGAAUUUCUGCUUGUCCUUCCCUUCUUCAACGAAGAGUUUUCCUAGUCCUAUUUCCUGCGUCUCAAACGAACGCGCCAGCCGAUUCACUAUCUCGUCGUCAAACUCAGAGAACAGCGGAAUGGCUUUCAGGCUCUUCGCUGAGAACGAGGGCUCGCCGUUCAGGAAUUGAAUGGGCAGCCGUUCACUCUUACGAAGUUCCACCUUGGUGCGGUUCACUCGGAAUGUGCCGCCGCUCACCUGUACCCAGGGUAACAGUUUCAACAAUAGUCUCGGGGUGAUGCUGCCCAUUUGGGGAGCAGUCUUAGUUGUGGUCGCCAGUCUUCUGGCGGUGGCAGUUGUCA